rnacentral:sRNA from 1 species
AGGAGGAAUCUCGCGUAGCGAGCGGCCGC